GAAUAAGUAAAGCAAAAAUUCGUAGCAUACGAAAAUUGAAUCAUGUUCUCUAUCAGAUCAUUGGUGCUAAGUAUUAAUUCCAAAAAUUCAAACUGUUUAAAAUAUACAAACUAAUUUAUUUAAAUAGUACAAGCAUAGUAUUCACAGGUCUCGAUUAUGACUCGGCACAAUCAAGCUCGUGUCAUUUCGAACAUAAUUUGGUCCAACGCGACUUUUUGCUAUUUCGAACAUGUCUCCUGCACAGAAUAGAAUGCCGAGCCUUUUAAGUUAACACAUAGAAGUU
rnacentral:lncRNA from 1 species